ACAUGUCAUUUUUCAUAUCAGACCCUUUAUCGGCCCUCGUUCAUGAUAUUAGCCCUCGAGCCUGCAGCUCUUGGGCUGAUAUCAUAACCUUGGGCCGAUAAAGGGUCUGAUAUGAAAAAUGCCAUGUAAUA
rnacentral:sRNA from 1 species